UCUCCUUUGUCAGCCCCGACUCCCCUGGUCUCACUGUUUCCAGAUCCCCAACCCUCCCCAUCCAUGGCCGCCGCCACCUCCCCAUCCAUGGCCGCCGCCACCUCCCCAUCCAUGGCCAUCUUCUAGGGGUAGAUCCCACAACCGCCGCGACGAUAGCCUCGUUCCCGGAGGCGGGGACGCCCCUGAAGGCGAACCUAGUGCACGCGACGCCGGUGCCAUUAUUGCGGGUCGGGCGGCGGUCAGAUCCACCAUGGCAACAACCGGCGUCCUCUCCCUCUCUAUCCAUCUUUCUCCCAUGACUGAGAAGAGGGCUUCGUCAAGGAUCCCAUUAUGGAUGUCAACGUGGGAGGCUGCUUCCUCCCCUUCCAGAUCGACCAUCCAUCGAUGGAGGCUAUGAGAGCUGAGUGAGCACACACAUGGUUGCGCUUCAAGCUGCAGCUCAAUAGAUGCAGGGACGCCGCAAUGGAGCAAGUAAGGCCUCCCUUCUCCCACUGUUUCUUCAGAUCCGCCACGGCCAGCCAUAUUUGGCGCCCCUGCACCACCGUGGUGGAGGUGGAAGAAAUCUCUUGAGGCCAAACCGCAGGGAGGACGGCGGCCAACAAUCGGUACAUGUUCUCAAGGUCCCAUGGAACUGGGUACAGGUGCGGCUGUGUGCUCGUGAUCCCCAUCCAAUGCUGCGCAUCCAAGGCAACAUCGCACCGGUCCUUGGGAGCAUAGGUUGAGGUGAUACGGUGACUUCCUUCGAUGAUGUCGGCGGGGAUGGCUGGAUCUGUGUCCGGGAAGGCAUGGGAAUGACCCCUGGUUGCUGUCUGUUGAGCGUUGGGAGGCAGUGGCUGCAAAGUGGCAUAGGGUGUUCUCUAGCACUUGUUUGGCACUUGUUUGUAGAUUGAAGUUUCUUGUGUUUUUGCUCCUGCACAUGGUAUCGUCUGGACAUGUGUGUAAUUUUGCGUUUUUGUGGUCUUUUUCCUUUUGCAUAAAUUGUUAUU